rnacentral:rRNA from 1 species
GACGAACGCUGGCGGCGUGCUUAACACAUGCAAGUCGAACGAUGAAGCCGGAGCUUGCUCUGGUGAAUUAGUGGCGAACGGGUGAGUAACACGUGAGUAACCUGCCCUUGACUCUGGGAUAACUGCGGGAAACUGUAGCUAAUACCGGAUACGACCCUCGGAGGCAUCUCCUGGGGGUGGAAAGAAUUUCGGUCAAGGAUGGACUCGCGGCCUAUCAGCUAGUUGGUGAGGUAAAGGCUCACCAAGGCGACGACGGGUAGCCGGCCUGAGAGGAUGACCGGCAACACUGGGACGGAGACACGGCCGAGACGCAUCCGGGAGGCAGCAGUGGGGAAUAUUACACAAUGGGCGCAAGCCUGAUGCAGCAACGCCGCGUGAGGGAUGACGGCCUUCGGGUUGUAAACCUCUUUUAGCAGGGAAGAAGCGAAAGUGACGGUACCUGCAGAAAAAGCACCGGCUAACUACGUGCCAGCAGCCGCCGUAA